rnacentral:lncRNA from 1 species
UAUCAAAGUUUGCACUUUUUUUCCUUUUCUUUAACUCACAUAUUCGUUUUUUCUUUUUCAGCGGUUCAAAAGUAGGCGUAAAGACUCUACCUCGGAGGAUGCAAGCAGAGAGUCGGAUUCAGAACAGUGGGAAGAUAGGAUUCAAAAAGAACAAUGGGCGGAGCGGAUGACGAAAAAUGAACCAUUUAACAUUGUAUUUUUCUAUCCAAAAAGCAAUGCUGAAUUUAGUAGUCGUAAUCCUUACUCUCCUGACUCAUGGCGAGCUGAUUGGACCUAUGAAAUUUCUGCGUGCUAUAGUAAAUUAGUUGAUGAUGUAUACCAGAUUUUAAAACCUGAAGUUCCUUCUUUGGAGAAAAACCAGUUACUGAUUUACUGCAAGAGAGGGACAAAGAUUGAUUGUCUGUUGGAAGGCAAAGACGAUGAUACCAUUGCAUCCUUACUUGCUAAGCAUGGUCACAGUGUCAGGUCAUUGUAUCACGUCACUGCAAGAACGCACAACUCAAAACUCAAUUCGGUUCUAUGUCUUCCCGGAAGUAUGUAUUUGUUGCCCAUUUAUUCAAAUAUUGAUAAAAAUUUUAACCUUGUUUAUUAAUUUUUAUUUUUUUAAAGACAUUGACUGUUUUAUUUUUUAUUUUUUUUCCCUCUGGUUAUUGGAUUAAUAAAACAGUCAUUUCAUUUCAUCACUUCUCCAUUGGACAGCGAUUCAGAAAAAUGAAUCCUUGUUAUGAAUAUGAUUAAGAUCAAUGGCACAUCUCCCGCAGCUAGUAGCAAUCAUUGUUAUCAUGAAACUAAAAUACUUCCAAUCGCAAAAAAUUACACACAAAUGAGUUUUCUUAUUUUUUUAUCUACUUUGGAUGUCUUGCUUUGUUUUCUAAUUUUACUUUUUCUAUGAUGUUUAUUUUUUCUUCCUUUUAAAAUUUGCUGAACUGCAAUACGGGUAUGCUCAGAUACUUUUAGCACAAUUAUGGAAGGAGGAUGUCUUAAACUGUUUUCUAAGGAAGAGAGGUGUUGCUUAAUUUUUGUAGGGUUGCGUCACCCCUUGAAGUAACACAUUAUGUUGCUAAAUUUUAUAGGAAAAUGUAAAAAAAAUAGAUAAGGGCUAGAGGAGGGUGCUUUCAUCAGUGGUAUGUUAUUUAUUAAGGAGGGAUCCGAGUUUACUUCAUGACUAUGCUACAAGAUGCAGGAGGUGAGAGCCUAUAAAAAGUGUGUUAUCUUCAUAAUAGUUUACCUCCCUUAAAUGAAGAAUCAAGUAAGAUAUACAAAUUCGGGUCCUCCAGCCAAAAUUUAGAGAAAGAAAACAUACUUGAGGAAGUUUUUUGUAAUUUCUGUUUCCUUUUUCAGACGAUAAAAUCACGGUACAUAAGGUAGAUAUUGAUGAACUAGAAGUGAGCAAAGGGAGGUUUGUCUAUUGCGCUCCAACGCUAAGUGUUGAACAGUUCAAAAACUGUCUACGAUCAGAUUUUGAUGUACCAGAAGGCAUCAAAUUCAUGGUUGCUGUGGAAAUCCCAAAACUCAAAUCCACAGAUUUAGACAGGAGAAGUUCAAGUCUUCACCUAGAAAUGACCCGUUUGAAAUUCCUUGUCAACGACAAAGCAACUUUGAAACAGGAGCAAGUCUCCUCCGCCAUGCCAGUAAGUCCGAGUUUUUCAUCUACUAAUGAAAUUUGUCUGUCUCUGUUUCAAGAUUUAACCCUCAAGAAUAAAUGUACCAGUUUGUAUUGCAUGAAAAAGAUUUGAUCUUUCAAAAAAGUCAAUCUAAAAAAUUGUUCAUGUCCGUAAAAAAAUGUCUAAAUCUGUUUUCACUGAAAUCAUCUAUUAUGAAAUCACUAUUUCUGGUACCUCUCACUGAUGAGUUAUUUUUUCACUUUUUUUCACAUUUUCUUUUUAAAGGUGUACGUUUCUUUCAUUUUCAAUGGAAUGUCAACACGCUCUGUAAUGGAAAGAAUGCUGAAAGCCAUCGAUUGUGAUAAGAACUCAGUCACUGUUAAUUUCAAGCUCCCUGAUAUCGAUCCAAGUGAGUCAUGUUAAUUUCAAUUAAUUCUCAUGUGUUCAUUGAAUGUUAAGUCUUACAGUUCUUUAGGGGAUGAUACUGUUACAUGCAGUGUGCUUUUGAAGCACUUUGCCUAAAAAAAUU